UACAGAGGUCCCAAGCGUUGUUCGGAUUCAUUGGGCGUAAAGGGUGCGUAGGCGGCGCGGUAAGUCGGGUGUGAAAUCUUGGAGCUUAACUCCGAAACUGCAUUCGAUACUGCCGUGCUUGAGGACUGGAGAGGAGUCUGGAAUUUACGGUGUAGCGGUGAAAUGCGUAGAUAUCGUAAGGAAGACCAGUGGCGAAGGCGGGUCUCUGGACAGUUCCUGACGCUGAGGCACGAAGGCCAGGGGAGCAAACGGG
rnacentral:rRNA from 1 species